ensembl:snRNA U7 U7 small nuclear RNA
GAAAAUUUGCAAUUUUAGUAUUUGUCUGGUAGGUUUCUUCAAGGAGAAAGCCCCA